GGAGGGGUGCAAGCAUUAAUCGGAAUUAUUGGGCGUAAAGGGCGCGUAGGGCGGAUUUGUAAGUCAGAUGUGAAAUUUCGGGGCUCAACCUCGGAGCUGCAUUUGAAACUGCAUUUCUUAGAGGAUUGUCGGAGAAAACGGAAUUCCACGUGUAGCGGUGAAAUGCGUAGAUAUGUGGAAGAACACCUGUGGCGAAAGCGGUUUUCUAGAUAAUUCCUGACGCUGAGGCGCGAGAGCUAGGGGAGCAAACAGGAUUAGAUACCCUGGUAGUCCUAGCCGUAAACGAUGUAUACUUGAAGUAACUGGGCUCAACCCCGGUUGUUUCGGAGCUAACGCGUUAAGUAUACCGCCUGGGGAGUACGCUCGCAAGGGUG
rnacentral:rRNA from 1 species